rnacentral:rRNA from 1 species
AGGUGGUGCAUGGUUGUCGUCAGCUCGUGUCGUGAGAUGUUGGGUUAAGUCCCGCAACGAGCGCAACCCUUGAACUUAGUUGCCAUCAUUCAGUUGGGCACUCUAAGUUGACUGCCGGUGACAAACCGGAGGAAGGUGGGGAUGACGUCAAAUCAUCAUGCCCCUUAUGAUUUGGGCUACACACGUGCUACAAUGGACAAUACAAAGGGCAGCGAAACCGCGAGGUCAAGCAAAUCCCAUAAAGUUGUUCUCAGUUCGGAUUGUAGUCUGCAACUCGACUACAUGAAGCUGGAAUCGCUAGUAAUCGUAGAUCAGCAUGCUACGGUGAAUACGUUCCCGGGUCUUGUACACACCGCCCGUCACACCACGAGAGUUUGUAACACCCGAAGCCGGUGGAGUAACCAUUUUGGAGCUAGCCGUCGAAGGUGGGACAAAUGAUUGGGGUGAAGUCGUAACAAGGUAGCCGUAUCGGAAGGUGCGGCUGGAUCACCUCCUUUCUA